UCCUACGGGAGGCAGCAGCAAGGAAUAUUGGGCAAUGGGCGAAAGCCUGACACAGCAACGUCGCGUGGGGGAUGAAGGCCUUCGGGUUGUAAACCCCUUUUCUCAGGGAAGAAUAAUGACGGUACCUGAGGAAUAAGUCUCGGCUAACUACGUGCCAGCAGCCGCGGUAAUACGUAGGAGGCGAGCGUUAUCCGGAUUUAUUGGGCGUAAAGAGGGCGUAGGCGGCUUUUCAAGUCGGAUGUAAAAUCUCCCAGCUUAACUGGGAGGGAUCAUUCGAUACUGAUGGGCUAGAGGGCAGCAGAGGGAGGUGGAAUUCCCGGUGUAGUGGUGAAAUACGUAGAUAUCGGGAGGAACACCAGUGGCGAAGGCGACCUCCUGGGCUGUUGCUGACGUUGAGGCCCGAAGGCGUGGGGAGCAAACAGGAUUAGAUACCCUGGUAGUCCAAGCCG
rnacentral:rRNA from 1 species